rnacentral:rRNA from 1 species
UUAAGCGACUAAGCGUACACGGUGGAUGCCCUGGCAGUCAGAGGCGAUGAAGGACGUGCUAAUCUGCGAUAAGCGUCGGUAAGGUGAUAUGAACCGUUAUAACCGGCGAUUUCCGAAUGGGGAAACCCAGUGUGAUUCGUCACACUAUCAUUAACUGAAUCCAUAGGUUAAUGAGGCGAACCGGGGGAACUGAAACAUCUAAGUACCCCGAGGAAAAGAAAUCAACCGAGAUUCCCCCAGUAGCGGCGAGCGAACGGGGAGGAGCCCAGAGCCUGAAUCAGUGUGUGUGUUAGUGGAAGCGUCUGGAAAGGCGCGCGAUACAGGGUGACAGCCCCGUACACAAAAAUGCACAUGCUGUGAGCUCGAUGAGUAGGGCGGGACACGUGGUAUCCUGUCUGAAUAUGGGGGGACCAUCCUCCAAGGCUAAAUACUCCUGACUGACCGAUAGUGAACCAGUACCGUGAGGGAAAGGCGAAAAGAACCCCGGCGAGGGGAGUGAAAAAGAACCUGAAACCGUGUACGUACAAGCAGUGGGAGCCUCUUUAUGGGGUGACUGCGUACCUUUUGUAUAAUGGGUCAGCGACUUAUAUUCUGUAGCAAGGUUAACCGAAUAGGGGAGCCGAAGGGAAACCGAGUCUUAACUGGGCGUUAAGUUGCAGGGUAUAGACCCGAAACCCGGUGAUCUAGCCAUGGGCAGGUUGAAGGUUGGGUAACACUAACUGGAGGACCGAACCGACUAAUGUUGAAAAAUUAGCGGAUGACUUGUGGCUGGGGGUGAAAGGCCAAUCAAACCGGGAGAUAGCUGGUUCUCCCCGAAAGCUAUUUAGGUAGCGCCUCGUGAAUUCAUCUCCGGGGGUAGAGCACUGUUUCGGCAAGGGGGUCAUCCCGACUUACCAACCCGAUGCAAACUGCGAAUACCGGAGAAUGUUAUCACGGGAGACACACGGCGGGUGCUAACGUCCGUCGUGAAGAGGGAAACAACCCAGACCGCCAGCUAAGGUCCCAAAGUCAUGGUUAAGUGGGAAACGAUGUGGGAAGGCCCAGACAGCCAGGAUGUUGGCUUAGAAGCAGCCAUCAUUUAAAGAAAGCGUAAUAGCUCACUGGUCGAGUCGGCCUGCGCGGAAGAUGUAACGGGGCUAAACCAUGCACCGAAGCUGCGGCAGCGACGCUUAUGCGUUGUUGGGUAGGGGAGCGUUCUGUAAGCCUGCGAAGGUGUGCUGUGAGGCAUGCUGGAGGUAUCAGAAGUGCGAAUGCUGACAUAAGUAACGAUAAAGCGGGUGAAAAGCCCGCUCGCCGGAAGACCAAGGGUUCCUGUCCAACGUUAAUCGGGGCAGGGUGAGUCGACCCCUAAGGCGAGGCCGAAAGGCGUAGUCGAUGGGAAACAGGUUAAUAUUCCUGUACUUGGUGUUACUGCGAAGGGGGGACGGAGAAGGCUAUGUUGGCCGGGCGACGGUUGUCCCGGUUUAAGCGUGUAGGCUGGUUUUCCAGGCAAAUCCGGAAAAUCAAGGCUGAGGCGUGAUGACGAGGCACUACGGUGCUGAAGCAACAAAUGCCCUGCUUCCAGGAAAAGCCUCUAAGCAUCAGGUAACAUCAAAUCGUACCCCAAACCGACACAGGUGGUCAGGUAGAGAAUACCAAGGCGCUUGAGAGAACUCGGGUGAAGGAACUAGGCAAAAUGGUGCCGUAACUUCGGGAGAAGGCACGCUGAUAUGUAGGUGAAGCGACUUGCUCGUGGAGCUGAAAUCAGUCGAAGAUACCAGCUGGCUGCAACUGUUUAUUAAAAACACAGCACUGUGCAAACACGAAAGUGGACGUAUACGGUGUGACGCCUGCCCGGUGCCGGAAGGUUAAUUGAUGGGGUUAGCGGUAACGCGAAGCUCUUGAUCGAAGCCCCGGUAAACGGCGGCCGUAACUAUAACGGUCCUAAGGUAGCGAAAUUCCUUGUCGGGUAAGUUCCGACCUGCACGAAUGGCGUAAUGAUGGCCAGGCUGUCUCCACCCGAGACUCAGUGAAAUUGAACUCGCUGUGAAGAUGCAGUGUACCCGCGGCAAGACGGAAAGACCCCGUGAACCUUUACUAUAGCUUGACACUGAACAUUGAGCCUUGAUGUGUAGGAUAGGUGGGAGGCUUUGAAGUGUGGACGCCAGUCUGCAUGGAGCCGACCUUGAAAUACCACCCUUUAAUGUUUGAUGUUCUAACGUUGGCCCCUAAUCGGGGUUGCGGACAGUGUCUGGUGGGUAGUUUGACUGGGGCGGUCUCCUCCUAAAGAGUAACGGAGGAGCACGAAGGUUGGCUAAUCCUGGUCGGACAUCAGGAGGUUAGUGCAAUGGCAUAAGCCAGCUUGACUGCGAGCGUGACGGCGCGAGCAGGUGCGAAAGCAGGUCAUAGUGAUCCGGUGGUUCUGAAUGGAAGGGCCAUCGCUCAACGGAUAAAAGGUACUCCGGGGAUAACAGGCUGAUACCGCCCAAGAGUUCAUAUCGACGGCGGUGUUUGGCACCUCGAUGUCGGCUCAUCACAUCCUGGGGCUGAAGUAGGUCCCAAGGGUAUGGCUGUUCGCCAUUUAAAGUGGUACGCGAGCUGGGUUUAGAACGUCGUGAGACAGUUCGGUCCCUAUCUGCCGUGGGCGCUGGAGAACUGAGGGGGGCUGCUCCUAGUACGAGAGGACCGGAGUGGACGCAUCACUGGUGUUCGGGUUGUCAUGCCAAUGGCACUGCCCGGUAGCUAAAUGCGGAAGAGAUAAGUGCUGAAAGCAUCUAAGCACGAAACUUGCCCCGAGAUGAGUUCUCCCUGACUCCUUGAGAGUCCUGAAGGAACGUUGAAGACGACGACGUUGAUAGGCCGGGUGUGUAAGCGCAGCGAUGCGUUGAGCUAACCGGUACUAAUGAACCGUGAGGCUUAACCUU